CCUACGGGAGGCUGCAGUGGGGAAUAUUGCACAAUGGGCGCAAGCCUGAUGCAGCCAUGCCGCGUGUGUGAAGAAGGCCUUCGGGUUGUAAAGCACUUUCAGCGGGGAGGAAGGCGGUGAGUUUAAUAACCUCAUCGAUUGACGUUACCCGCAGAAGAAGCACCGGCUAACUCCGUGCCAGCAGCCGCGGUAAUACGGAGGGUGCAAGCGUUAAUCGGAAUUACUGGGCGUAAAGCGCACGCAGGCGGUCUGUCAAGUCGGAUGUGAAAUCCCCGGGCUCAACCUGGGAACUGCAUUCGAAACUGGCAGGCUAGAGUCUUGUAGAGGGGGGUAGAAUUCCAGGUGUAGCGGUGAAAUGCGUAGAGAUCUGGAGGAAUACCGGUGGCGAAGGCGGCCCCCUGGACAAAGACUGACGCUCAGGUGCGAAAGCGUGGGGAGCAAACAGGAUUAGAUACCCGAGUAGUC
rnacentral:rRNA from 1 species